GCUCCUAUUAGCCCAAGAAUGGAAUUUAUCAGAUGUUAAAAGCAAGAGAGAGAGAGAGAGAGAGAAAACCAAAGAUUUUUGUGUUCUAGACAAGUUACGAGAUUUUCUGUUCAGUGAAAAGGAAAAAAAAAAAAAAGUAAAAUAAAUAGUGUCACGCAUUAGUUUCCUUUUCUUUACUUUCUUAAUUUAAAAUAUAAAAAAAAAAUACAUUAAUAAAUUACCUUAAAUUUUCAUUUAAUUUAACUAAUAAAUAUUAAUUACUAAUCUAAUGACCCUUCAAUAUACAUAUAUAUAUAUACAUAUAUA
rnacentral:lncRNA from 1 species